AGUGAACGCUGGCGGUAGGCCUAACACAUGCAAGUCGAACGGCAGCACAGUAAGAGCUUGCUCUUACGGGUGGCGAGUGGCGGACGGGUGAGGAAUACAUCGGAAUCUACUUUUUCGUGGGGGUUAACGUAGGGACACUUACGCUAAUACCGCAUACGACCUACCGUUGAAAGCAGGGGAUCUUCGGACCUUGCGCGAUUGAAUGAGCCGAUGUCGGUUUAGCUAGUUGGCGGGGUAAAGGCCCACCAAGGCGACGAUCCGUCGCUUGUCUGAGUGGAUGAUCAGCCACACUGGAAGGGAGACACGGUCCAGGCUCCUACGGUAGGCACCAGUGGGGAAUAUUGGACAGUGGGCGCAAGCCUGAGCCAUCCAUACCGCGUGGGUGAAGAAGGCCUUGGGGUUGUGAAGCCGUUUUGUUGGGAAAGAAAAGCAGCAGGUUAAGACCCCGCUGUUCUGACGGUACCCAAAGAAGAAGCACCGGCUAACUUCGUG
rnacentral:rRNA from 1 species